UUAUAUUUGUAAUACAAUAGUUUACUUUUCUGCUGCCACUAGAAAAGUAAUAAGAGGGAAUUAGGUGAAAAUCCUAGACAGUCCCGCUGCUGUAAUUCUCAUUAUUGGUGAUAGACAAAAGAAUGACUUUAAAAAGCCACUGGAUUAUUCUGGGAAGGCGUCUAUUUACUGAGAUAAGUCAGAAGACCUGCUAUUGUAAUCUGUAUUUU
rnacentral:ncRNA from 2 species